rnacentral:rRNA from 1 species
UCGGGCCUCUCGCGUCAGGAUAUGCCUAGGUGGGAUUAGCUAGUUGGUGAGGUAAGGGCUCACCAAGGCGACGAUCCCUAGCUGGUCUGAGAGGAUGAUCAGCCACACUGGAACUGAGACACGGUCCAGACUCCUACGGGAGGCAGCAGUGGGGAAUAUUGCACAAUGGGCGCAAGCCUGAUGCAGCCAUGCCGCGUGUGUGAAGAAGGCCUUCGGGUUGUAAAGCACUUUCAGUCGUGAGGAAGGYRGYGUMGUUAAUAGCKGCRUYRUUUGACGUUAGCGACAGAAGAAGCACCGGCUAACUCCGUGCCAGCAGCCGCGGUAAUACGGAGGGUGCGAGCGUUAAUCGGAAUUACUGGGCGUAAAGCGCAUGCAGGUGGUUUGUUAAGUCAGAUGUGAAAGCCCGGGGCUCAACCUCGGAAUUGCAUUUGAAACUGGCAGACUAGAGUACUGUAGAGGGGGGUAGAAUUUCAGGUGUAGCGGUGAAAUGCGUAGAGAUCUGAAGGAAUACCGGUGGC